rnacentral:rRNA from 1 species
CAGUCGCCACGGUAAUACGGAGGGUGCAAGCGUUAAUCGGAAUUACUGGGCGUAAAGCGCACGCAGGCGGUCUGUCAAGUCAGAUGUGAAAUCCCCGGGCUUAACCUGGGAACUGCAUUUGAAACUGGCAGGCUAGAGUCUUGUAGAGGGGGGUAGAAUUCCAGGUGUAGCGGUGAAAUGCGUAGAGAUCUGGAGGAAUACCGGUGGCGAAGGCGGCCCCCUGGACAAAGACUGACGCUCAGGUGCGAAAGUGUGGGGAGCAAACAGGAUUAGAUACCCGAGUAGUCCCUGUCUCUUAUAC